GAAAAAGGGAAGCAGUGAGCGGAUAAAAUGAGGAGUGAGGAAGAACAUGUGGAAAAAGAGCAACCUCUGAUGAUGCUAUUAGAAACAAGAAGAAAAAUUGAGUUGGGAACAUAGGCAUUGUUUGGCUUUGGAAUGAAUGUGAUAAUGGCUUCUCUGCUCCCUCCAACUCCAACUGCUACUUGUACACUUAAACAAAGUCAAAUGGGAAUUUGCUUCUCUCCCUUGAAACCCACCACCUCAAAUAAUGUUUCUUUCUUAUCAAACCAGCGCUUCAAGAGCAACUCUUCACAGUGUAAUGCAUUUUAUGAUGAUGUGGCCAAAGGUUUGUUGGAGGGCAGUGUUAGUUUGGAGCAGUUUGCUGGUUUUCUCCAAUCAGGAAAAGUGCAAUUUGAGAGAGUAACUGAAAAUUUAUCAGAGAUGCAGAAGUGGGGGUUUCUCAUGUUUGGUGGGUUGACAUGGAUUUACUUAACUGCAAGGCCAGGUGUUCUUGUUGGUGCCAUUGAUGCCUACCUUUUGGCUCCUCUUCAACUUGGUUUGGACAGUUUAUCUGGAAGGAGAAACUUGAAGAGGAGUGAUUUUCUGAUUGGUGAUAAGCUUGGUGAAGGGUCAUUUGGUGUUGUCUAUUCGGGUGUUUUGGUCCCAAAGAAUGUGAAUGUGAAUGUGGAAGAGAGGGUGCAGAAGAGGGGGAGAGCUAAGGCAUCACAGUUGGAUGCCAAAUCUACGGAUAAAGUCAUUCUUAAAAAGGUUAAGGUUGGAAUCCAAGGGGCUGAAGAAUUUGGUGAUUAUGAGGAGUGGUUCAAUUACAGGAUAUCUAGAGCAGCACCUGAAACAUCUGCCGAGUUCCUUGGCAGUUUUGUAGCUGAUAAAACAAAUACACAGUUCACAAAAGGUGGAAAAUGGCUUGUUUGGAAGUUUGAGGGAGAUCGUACUCUUGCUGAUUACAUGAAGGAUCGCAACUUUCCUUCAAACUUAGAAUCUGUCAUGUUUGGACGUGUCUUGCAAGGUGUAGACUCUUUGAAACGAAAUGCUUUGAUCAUCAAGCAAAUAAUGCGCCAGAUCAUUACGUCUCUUAGGAAAAUUCAUGAUACAGGCAUUGUUCACAGGGAUGUAAAGCCAGCCAACUUAGUGGUUACUAAAAGGGGGCAGAUUAAACUCAUUGAUUUUGGUGCAGCAACAGACCUGCGGAUUGGCAAGAAUUAUGUUGCCAACGUCACCCUUUUUGAUCCUGACUAUUGCCCCCCAGAAUUAUAUGUACUCCCAGAAGAAACUCCAAGUCCUCCACCAGAACCAAUUGCUGCUUUCCUUUCACCAAUCCUGUGGCAGUUAAACAGCCCUGAUUUGUUUGAUAUGUAUUCGGCUGGGAUUGUUCUCCUGCAAAUGGCAAUACCAACCUUAAGGUCUCAAGCUGCUUUGAAGAAUUUCAACCUGGAAAUUAAAACCUGCGGAUAUGAUUUGAAAAAAUGGAGGGACUAUACUCGCCUCAGGCCUGGCGACUUCCAAAUUCUAGAUAUCGAAUCUGGGAGAGGGUGGGACUUAGCAACAAAGCUUGUAUCUGAGAGAGGUUCCAUUAGAAGAGGACGUUUAUCUGCUGCUGCUGCUUUGAGACAUCCUUAUUUUCUUCUGGGUGGUGAUCAGGCAGCUGCAGUCCUUUCAAAAUUAAGCUUAAGCAGAAAGUGAUCUGCAUAGCAAUGAGCACAUUUGAAUUCAAAGGUGUCCCACAGCAAGCGUGCCUAACUUGUGAAUUGACGACCAUCAUUUAUAAGAUUUAUUCCAAUUUUUUUCUGUGUUUGGGUUUUCCCCCCUCAGUUUAAAUUGGUGGGAGAUUUUCUACUCAAUUUCAGGCAAGCAACAAGCCUGAGGACAUUUGAAGGAUACAGAACGAAAAAUUAUUGCUACAGUAUACAUUUAUAUCUUUCAUGUAACCUAUAUGACAACAAUUUCUAGCAGGAGCACAUAAUGGUUGUAAUAGCUUAUUCAAUCUUCUCCCAUGGUUUCUUUCUACAAGAGAUGAAUGCUUGAUGAUUGGCAGGACCUCACCUGUAAUACCAUAACUUCGGGUCUAUGGCUUGUAACAUGAUAUAGAGCCAAGUGGAGCUGCAUUCUAGUGACACUUAUUGGAUGAAAGUUACAUACUUACAUCCUAGAUGAGAUUGUGUAUUCAGUUCCAUAUAACUCGUCAAUUGAGAAGUAUUCUUGUAUGAAAUCUAGCUUCUUAUGGAUUUCAAAAAGUUGUUGUCAAAAACGACGUUCUUCAUACCAAAAAUACUAGCUUAUUUUACAUAUGGACACAAAUGUCAGAACAUACAAAAUAAAACUAUUGGCAUCAAUACAAACAGAAUACCAUGGUGAAUCCUCAUAUUUAUCUUCUCUCUCUGCCUUUCUAUGUAGUAUCAUUUUCAAUCUGAAGUUAAUACCCUUGCAUCCACCGCAAAAGAGACAUGCAUGCUUUUACAUGGCUAUAGUUGGCAACUUUGCACAUAUGGUGUUAGAGUUCAUCGUGAUAGAGUACUUUUUCCAACACAUUUUUCUUUUUACAACCCCAACGGCAUGUCUUAGAGCACAAGGAGUUGAAUAGGGCAAGCCUUGUGGAUUGAAGGGAUAUUAUGCUUGACGUGGAAGGUGAUUUUGAGAGAACAAUUGCAUACCCAUCAUCCAUGUAAUCCGUUCCAUCAGGAAAGAGCUGCCACACAAGGCUUCCAGCCCCGCUUCCUCCUUUCUUUGUAGAGUUUAGGAUGGUCUUGUACACGGUGUUUAUAAGGGUGUCUCUAUAUGUUGAAUUGUAGCCAGGAGCUUUUGCAGAUACACCAAACUCAGAAAAAACCACAGGCAUUCCGAGAUACUUUUCAGCAUCCUCUAUGUGUGCUUCCAUCCAAGACUUUAUAAAUGGGAGAUGGGAAUCAGCAAUUGAUUGUGAAAUCCUUCAACAGCAUAAAUUUUGGAGGGGCAAACCUGUAAGAUAUCACCUGACGGGUCUGAGUUGCAUCGAGGCUCAUUCAUCAGUUCCCAAGCGAAAAUUGUUGGAUCUUCCUUGUAAGUGAUAUUUGUGAAUGUAUUAACUCUAUUUAGCACCGUCUACACAGUGAAAAUAAUACUGUAAUCCAAUUAGUUUAGAAGAAUCAAAGUUCAAUAUGUAUUAAUAUUUGGGUGGUUGAGCAUUGUAGCACAUCACAAACAAGAUUCAAUUCCAAUAUGCACAAAUUCAAGUGAUGGAUUGGAAUAAACUUACCUUAACAUGAGCCUUGUAGUAGCCUCUUAGAGUUGGAUGUGAGAAGAAGUCAUCAUCUGAGGUCAAAUUAAGGCCAGCUGCAUUGCCCCACUUCACAUACUGUUGUUUUCCACCAUAAGCUUCCCAGUUGUUGACCAAUGAUAAUAUGACCCUGAUUUUGU